rnacentral:rRNA from 1 species
UACGGGAGGCAGCAGUGGGGAAUAUUGCACAAUGGGCGCAAGCCUGAUGCAGCCAUGCCGCGUGUAUGAAGAAGGCCUUCGGGUUGUAAAGUACUUUCAGUCGUGAGGAAGGUGUUAAGGUUAAUAACCUUAGCAAUUGACGUUAGCGACAGAAGAAGCACCGGCUAACUCCGUGCCAGCAGCCGCGGUAAUACGGAGGGUGCGAGCGUUAAUCGGAAUUACUGGGCGUAAAAGGCACGCAGGCGGUUAAUUAAGUUGGAUGUGAAAUCCCCGGGCUUAACCUGGGAAUGGCAUUCAAGACUGGUUAGCUAGAGUCUUGUAGAGGGGGUAGAAUUCCAUGUGUAGCGGUGAAAUGCGUAGAGAUGUGGAGGAAUACCGGUGGCGAAGGCGGCCCCUGGACAAAGACUGACGCUCAUGUGCGAAAGCGUGGGGAGCAAACGAGGGAUUAGAUACC